rnacentral:rRNA from 1 species
UGCGGAAUCCCGUGAACCAUCGAGUCUUUGAACGCAAGUUGCGCCCGAAGCCUUUAGGCCGAGGGCACGCCUGCCUGGGCGUCA